rnacentral:ncRNA from 1 species
GCAGAGUAGACUUGUGUGCGUUAAGUGCCGGCUGAACAGGGAGUUGUCAGUUGGACGAAAAGAAGAAUCCUUUUAAUUGGUGAAUUCUUGCGGUACACAGGUCGCAUCCCGCUGC